rnacentral:lncRNA from 1 species
AUGUUCAUGGACACUCCUGAUGAGGAUGUAUAUUUUAUUCACAAGAAGCCCAUUAAAGAAGAAACGUUCAAUGCUGUUGAUUCAGUCUUCGAAAAUACUUGCCACUCUCCAAACAAUUCUGUGAGCUACAUAGGCCAACCCUUGGAAUGUCCAUUCAGUCCUUCGCACAACAUCACUGUAGCAAGUGAUGGAGAUCUCACAGAAAUUUUGAACAAAACAAUGAUGGAACCGACCAAUCUCUCUGUUGCCAGGAAGUGUGGCUGUGUGUUCACUUUGAAGUCGGAUAGAAAAGUGCCUUUGUGGAUGUUCUGUGAUGCUGCAGACAAAGAGAAGACUUUCUUAUUGAGUAUCAGUUACAAAGAUGGAUGGUGCUCAAGAUCAUGGGCUCAUCUAAACAGCUGGAACUUCAAUGAUGGAGAUAUUGAUGAGCUCAUCACCAAACAUUUACAACAAUUUAAUCUCGGCAAAAGUAAGAGUCGACUGCGGGUAACAAGCACGUACAGUCCUGAUGAGGAUACUGUCAAUCCUGCAUUGCUAAAAAUUACAUGGACAACUCCAUCCAUUGACAUACCAUUCUCAGUGGCCAAACUAAUCUUGUAAGUCAUAAGAAUAACUCUAGAUUCCUUCCAUUUCAGGGUAUCUAGCGACCGGGAGAAGUGGGAAACGCCGAGGAAUUUUUUUUUUAAAAAUUGCUAGACACCCUGCAUUUUCUCCAAAUGAUAAGUUUAUCAAUCAGAUAGGACAAAUCCCACUUUGCAUCUUUUCAUUUUACAGCACUUCAUUGCAUGGAAUUUAGAGAGAAUGGAGCCAAAAACAGGGAUGUUCCAGAAAGUGAAAACUGGGAAAUGUCAGGGAAUUUGUUUUUUUCAAUAAAAAGUGAAAACCUGGAAAUGGGUGGGAUUUGUUAGCUUCGCCGCGGAAAGCUUUCAUUCUGAGUGCCUUUUCGUGUGGUCUCCAGAUGGGUUGUGUAGUGCUGGAACGACUGCUUGAUUUAGUAGUAGUUGCUUUGGUGUUGCAUGAUUCAAGACCCGGCCCCACCUAUAAGUAGUAAGUCUCUCUCGCCUCAUGCAGGAGUUAGAGCUUAUGAAACCAGAUCUCAGCGGUUCGCGCCCUACCAAGACGGACCGCGAGCAAUAUAUAAAAAUAUCAAAGCACAACCCGGAUUCCCUGCUACCAUCAAACCCCUAUCGCACUAAUGCACGCUUUUCACCAUCUAAAUUGCUAUCUGAACACAUCAAGCACAACCCAUUAAACUCCUAUCGUAACAAUGCACUCUCUUGCACCGUCUAAAUUUGCUACUACAUUAUUAUCUAUUUAUUUAUUUAUUUUUUUGUUUUUUGUUUAUAUAUAUAUUACUGCUUGCUGGUUUUGCUCGUUAGUUUCUUACUUGGGUUGUUGCAAAGCUCGCGGUCCAGCCUGCCACCCCUGUACUUUUUUUUUUUUUUUUUUUUUUUGCUUUUGCUUUCGCUCUUCUCUCUUCUCUCCUUUGCCAAGCUUGUAGUGACUAAUAGAUGUGCUUUCUUCUGUCCAGUAAGUUGUUGUACAGUGGUAGUGUUUGAAAGCUUAGGAGCUUCUGGAGUGUAGAAUAAGUUAAAAGUGGAUUUAAUGCCUUGGUACUAAAGUGUGUGUGUUUAGCAGAAAAGUGUCAGCAAUAAUGAAAAACUAGUAUCAGUGACCGCGGGAAGUGUGCAAAUCGGAGAAAUGCCUGGGGAUGGAAGUUUUCUUUUUCAGAGCAUUACAACAUCAUAGUUGGAAAUGGUUUGCCUAGAAAGAGUACCUGAAGGAGGCGUGACUCGUCUAAGACUGAUCAUUUGUGAGCAUCUGAUCAAGAAUGUGAGACAGCCGAGUGUUUUAUAUAACGUACUUGAGACAGCCAGUCAGGAUAGUGCAUUCAUGGAAAUGAUUUUUUUUUUUUUUUUUUUUUUUUUGUGCUCUUUUUUUCCCCUCUCUUCUCUCCUUUGCCAAGCUUGUAGUGACUAAUAGAUGCGCUUUCUUCUGUCAGUAGGUUGUUUGUAAAGUGGUAUUGUGUGAAAGCUUAGAAGCCUCUGGAGUGUAGAAUAAGUUAAAUGAGGAUUUACUGCCUUUCCACUAAACAAGAACUGAAAGGAAAGGAAAUUAUUCAGGCCUUUUGCCAAUUGUUUUUGUGCCAAGUUCAUAUAUCAAGCUACUACAUCAUAAAUGGAGACGGUUUGCCCAGAUAGAGUACCUAAAAGGCAUGAAUUGUCUAAGACUGAUCAUUUGUGAGCAUCUGAUCAAGAAUGUGAGACAGCCGAGUGUUUUAUAUAACGUACUUGAGACAGCCAGUCAGGAUAGUGUAUUCAUAGAAAUGAAUUUUUUUUUUUUUUUUUUUCUUCCCUUUUUUUGUGCUCUUUUUUUUUUCUUUUUCUCUCCUUUGCCAAGCUUGUAGUGACUAAUAGAUGCGCUUUCUUCUGUUAGUAAGUUGUUUGUACAGUGGUAGUGUAUGAAAGCUUAGAAGCUUCUGGAGUGUAGAAUAAGUUAAAUGAGGAUUUACUGCCUUUCCACUAAACAAGAACUGAAAGGAAAGGAAACCAUUCAGGCCUAUUGCCAAUUGUUUUUGUGCCAAGUUCAGAUAUUUAAUGAAAAAACGUGUAAUAGAGGUUGCUUGUGCAGUAUACCAAGAAUGUUUAAUCAUGUUAAGACAAUGAGACAUGAAUGCAUAGUAUCCAAGAAUGCAUCAAGCAUGCUACCAAUUGUGUAUAGUACAGGGUUUAUGGGGGGAUUGAUAAACUUUCCCUUUGAAUCUCCCAUGCAGAAGGAAACAGCAUUAGCGGUCCUCUGCUCCCAUCCAAUUUUCCUUAUCCUAGAUUUUGUCCCCUGUGUGUUUCAGGAAUAGUCCAACCGUUCGCUUUGAAAUAUAAGCAUAACGAGCUAUGGCCAACAGCUGGGGCGGUUGGACUUCUUAUUCUUAUUCUUAUUCUUAAAAAGUGAAAACCUGGAAAUGUCAGGAAAAAAUUGUUAAGUCAUUUUAUUUUCUUUUAGAAUGGGUUAGAAAUUUUGAACUUUAGAUUUUGCUAAAAAAAUAUUACAAAUCAUGUAUUUUAGUUUCUAACCAUCAGGCAUAUCUUCAAUUGUCCGGAAUUUAACCAGAAUAAGUCAUGAAAAUUCAUUCUAAAUUUGUGGCAAUCCUGUACAGAUUGCUCUCUUUUCUGCUUUUUCCGAAGCAACAGUCUGUAAUAAAUCAUCUCUUGUGAAACCUUUUCUUUGAGUCUCACAGCUAGUUCCCUAAAUAAAUAGCUGUUAUCAAUUCAGUUUUCUAGCUGUUCAUUUAAUGCGUUUUUCAUCCCCAAUUAAAUUUUGAUUUUGGAGAAAAGGAAAACCUGGGUUUCAAAAAGUCUUUUCAUAAUAACUUUAGGUACAUUUCACCGCUAUGAAGAAAAACAAACUGUCUCUAGUUCUUGAACUUUCUCAUGAUGUUCUCCUUUUGUGCCAAAACACUCUCCAAAAAUUGCAUGCUAAAAUAGCAGUCUUCUUUCAUGUGAAAGAUAAAAGUUACAAAGGAGUUGAUGGAUCAUCUCUCUGGAGCUACAGGGUGUUUUAUUUAUUUUUCAUUUUAUUUACUUCUGAGAUGAUUUCAAUUUACUGAUCUGUAUUUUUGUUCCUUUUAAUGUUUUUAGUUGAUUAACUUCAAAGUUGGUUUUAAUGGAAGUAUUAUUAAGCCGAUUUGGGAUCAAUUACAGCUUUUGCAAAAGUUUUGGAUGUAAUCCUCAUGAAGCAAGAAGUGAUCCUGAAAACCCUGGAUCAAGUAAGAGUCACUUCAUUGAAUUCAAUGACUCAGUAAGUAAAUUUAAUUAACCAACCCGUGUUAUUUAUUUAAAGCAUUCUACACCAGAGAAAAUUGUUGCCAUAUCAAAGUGCCACUUAGAACUUACUGAAAUCAAAGUGAAUCUCACUCGCAUGCAAAGUGCGUUAACUGCACUUCUUAGUUUAAACAUUUUAGAAUUUUCCUUUACAUUUUUACUCCUUCCUUUCUUUUACAUUUUUUUUUCAUUUUCUCCAGUUUUACGUGAAGAAAUGGUUGUAGAACGCAGACCAAGAAAUUUUUAAUCCCAACAAUUUAUGUUUGGGUGU